rnacentral:rRNA from 1 species
CGGCGAGUGAAGCGGCAACAGCUCAAAUUGAAAGCUGGCUCCGGCCCGCAUUGUAAUUUGCAGAGGAUGCUUCUGGUGAGGUGCCUUCCGAGUUCCCUGGAACGGGACGCCAUAGAGGGUGAGAGCCCCGUAUGGAUGGACACCAAACCUGUGUGAAGCUCCUUCAACGAGUCGAGUAGUUUGGGAAUGCUGCUCUAAAUGGGAGGUAAAUCUCUUCUAAAGCUAAAUACCGGCCAGAGACCGAUAGCGCACAAGUAGAGUGAUCGAAAGAUGAAAAGCACCUUGAAAAGGGGGUUAAACAGUACGUGAAAUUGUUGAAAGGGAAGCGCUUGUGACCAGACUUGCGCCGGGCAGCUCAUCAGGGGUUCUCCCCUGUGCACUCUGCCCGGCUCAGGCCAGCAUCGGUUCUCGUGGGAGGAUAAGAACGGUAGGAACGUGGCCCCCUUCCGGGGGGGUGUUAUAGCCUACCGUACGAUACUCCCGUGGGGACCGAGGUUCGCGCUCCGCAAGGAUGCUGGCGUAAUGGUCAUCAGCGACCCGUCUUGAAACACGGACCAAGGAGUCGUCCAUUAGAGCGAGCGUUUGGGUGUAAAACCCGCACGCGUAAUGAAAGUGAACGCAGGUGAGAGCUUCGGCGCAUCAUCGACCGAUCCUGAUGUCUUCGGAUGGAUUUGAGUAAGAGUUUUAACGGACGGACCCGAAAGACAGUGAACUAUGCUUGUAUAGGGUGAAGCCAGAGGAAA